UAAGGAAUAUUGGUCAAUGGACGCGAGUCUGAACCAGCCAUGCCGCGUGAAGGAUGAAGGUCCUCUGGAUUGUAAACCUCUUUUAUCUGGGACGAAAACGGGAUUUUUAUCUCAAUUGACGGUACCAGAGGAAUAAGCACCGGCUAACUCCGUGCCAGCAGCCGCGGUAAUACGGAGGGUGCGAGCGUUAUCCGGAUUUACUGGGUUUAAAGGGUGCGUAGGUGGGCUUAUAAGUCAGUGGUGAAAUCUCCGAGCUUAACUUGGAAACUGCCGUUGAUACUAUAGGUCUUGAAUUAUCUGGAGGUAAGCGGAAUAUGUCAUGUAGCGGUGAAAUGCUUAGAUAUGACAUAGAACACCAAUUGCGAAGGCAGCUUACUACAUAUAAAUUGACGCUGAGGCACGAAAGCGUGGGGAUCAAACA
rnacentral:rRNA from 1 species